rnacentral:rRNA from 1 species
UACGUAGGGGGCUAGCGUUGUCCGGAAUCACUGGGCGUAAAGCGCGUGUAGGCGGUCCGGCAAGUCCGCUGUGAAAGUCGGGGGCUCAACCCUCGGAUGCCGGUGGAUACUGUCGGGCUUGAGUACGGAAGAGGCGAGUGGAAUUCCUGGUGUAGCGGUGAAAUGCGCAGAUAUCAGGAGGAACGCCAAUUGCGAAGACAGCUCGCUGGGACAUUACUGACGCUGAGGCGCGAAAGCGUGGGGAGCAAACAGG